ensembl:misc_RNA 7SK 7SK RNA
GAAAUAAUGCUGGUAGGUUGUGCGACAUCUGUCACCCCGUUGAUCACCAGCAUUGGUUCGGCUGAUCUGGCUGGAUUGGUGCAUGUUCCCUUCCUCCCUCACCGCUGCAUGUGGGUCCCUUUGGAAGCAGCGGACUCAGUUGAAGAGUCAGAUCCUCCUGAACAGAGCGAGGCCGGUCUUGGUCAAGGUACAGGUAGCUGAGCUCCCCUGCUAGAGUCUCCAAAUAAGCUCUCAGGGUCCUUUUGUAGGGAGAAAGCAGGGUAGUCUAGGUUCCAAGACUCCAGACACAUGCAAAUGAAGUGCUACCUGCAGCAGUCUGCCUUUCU